GAUGAACGCUGGCGGCGUGCCUAAUACAUGCAAGUCGAGCGAACAGACGAGGAGCUUGCUCCUUUGACGUUAGCGGCGGACGGGUGAGUAACACGUGGGUAACCUACCUAUAAGACUGGGAUAACUUCGGGAAACCGGAGCUAAUACCGGAUAAUAUUUCGAACCGCAUGGUUCGAUAGUGAAAGAUGGCUUUGCUAUCACUUAUAGAUGGACCUGCGCCGUAUUAGCUAGUUGGUAAGGUAACGGCUUACCAAGGCAACGAUACGUAGCCGACCUGAGAGGGUGAUCGGCCACACUGGAACUGGGACACGGUCCAGACUCCUACGGGAGGCAGCAGUAGGGAAUCUUCCGCAAUGGGCGAAAGCCUGACGGAGCAACGCCGCGUGAGUGAUGAAGGUCUUCGGAUCGUAAAACUCUGUUAUUAGGGAAGAACAAACGUGUAAGUAACUGUGCACGUCUUGACGGUACCUAAUCAGAAAGCCACGGCUAACUACGUG
rnacentral:rRNA from 1 species